CAGAGAGCGGAGGAUCUUCAGCCUCUAAGGGACCAGGAGCCAAACUCGAUUGUGGACUCAGUGAUCAGUGGAUGAAGAUACCGAGACCUGAUUAUAAUGCAGCAGCUGGUAGUUUGGAUGGCUCACAAACAAAAGGUUUUGUAGCGGGCGCGAAUGCUUAUCCAAACAAUGGAUACGGUGCAGGGCUGGGAUAUCCGUAUGCAGGGAAAACUGCUCAAGCUGGAUAUGGACAAGGAGUCCACCCUGGG